UUUCCGUAGGUGAACCUGCGGAAGGAUCGUUAAUGUGUUUGGGCCUCACGGCUCUUCAUUCCGACGCUGUGCGCCUUCGGGCUGCACGCUGAGGGAGCAUAUAUCCACCCCUGUGCACACACACGGUGGCGAGCUGGGUAACGGCUCGCCACUGAUCUUUACACACGUCUAGAAGUCAUUGUAUGUUUAUUUGAGAUAAAAACACAACUUUCAGCAACGGAUCUCUUGGCUCUC
rnacentral:misc_RNA from 1 species